rnacentral:rRNA from 1 species
GAUGAACGCUGGCGGCGUGCCUAAUACAUGCAAGUCGAGCGAACAGACGAGGAGCUUGCUCCUCUGACGUUAGCGGCGGACGGGUGAGUAACACGUGUAUAACCUCCCUAUAAGACUGGGAUCACUUCGGGACACCGGAGCUAAUACCGGAUAAUAUCUUGAACCGCAUGGUUCAAUAGUGAAAGUCGGCUUUUCUGUCACUUCUCGCUGGAUCGGCGCCGCAUUAGCUAGUUGGUAGGGUAACGGCUUAUCAAGGCAACGAUGCGUAGCCGACGUGAGAGGGUGAUCGGCGACCCUGGAGGGGGGACACGGUCAAGAGUCCUACGGGAGGGAGCAGAAGGGAAUCUGACGCAGAGGGCGAGAGCUUGACGGAGCAACGCCGAGUGAGAGAUGAAGGUCUUCGGAGCGUAAAACUCUGUUAUUGGGGAAGAACAAAUGUGGAAGUAGAUAUGGACGGCUUGACGGUACCGGAUCAAAAAGCAACGGCUAACUACGUG